GAUCKUGGCUCAGAACGAACGCUGGCGGCAUGCCUAAUACAUGCAAGUCGAACGAGAUCUUCGGAUCUAGUGGCGCACGGGUGCGUAACGCGUGGGAAUCUGCCCUUGGGUUCGGAAUAACGUCGGGAAACUGACGCUAAUACCGGAUGAUGACGAAAGUCCAAAGAUUUAUCGCCCAGGGAUGAGCCCGCGUAGGAUUAGCUAGUUGGUGAGGUAAAGGCUCACCAAGGCUACGAUCCUUAGCUGGUCUGAGAGGAUGAUCAGCCACACUGGGACUGAGACACGGCCCAGACUCCUACGGGAGGCAGCAGUAGGGAAUAUUGGACAAUGGGGGCAACCCUGAUCCAGCAAUGCCGCGUGAGUGAUGAAGGCCUUAGGGUUGUAAAGCUCUUUUACCCGAGAUGAUAAUGACAGUAUCGGGAGAAUAAGCUCCGGCUAACUCCGUGCCAGCAGCCGCGGUAAUACGGAGGGAGCUAGCGUUGUUCGGAAUUACUGGGCGUAAAGCGCACGUAGGCGGCGAUUUAAGUCAGAGGUGAAAGCCCGGGGCUCAACCCCGGAACUGCCUUUGAGACUGGAUUGCUUGAAUCCUGGAGAGGUGAGUGGAAUUCCGAGUGUAGAGGUGAAAUUCGUAGAUAUUCGGAAGAACACCAGUGGCGAAGGCGCUCACUGGACAGGUAUUGACGUGAGGUGCGAA
rnacentral:rRNA from 1 species